GCGAAAGUGGCGAAACGGCAGACGCGCUGCGCUUAGGACGCAGUCCCGUAAGGGGUGGGGGUUCGAGUCCCCCCUUUCGCA
rnacentral:tRNA from 1 species